AAGGGCAUGCUGUUGCUUUCUAACAGGUCUCAUUUGAGAACUCGCCCUCUGUAUAUUCAAAUGGUUAAUUUUGAGGCUUUGCUUUCAGUGAACUCUAUUCCUUGAGAUCUUGCUUUAUGCCAUCUCAUAGCUCAUUAAGUCCCCUUCGUUUUAUGUCCUGAAUAUCUUUUCAAUCUGUCCUCUCUCCUCCAUCAGCAUCCUAAUACAGAACUUGCCUGAUCCAUUGCUUUUAGGUCCUAAUUAGUGUAUAUAUUUAUUGAUUCUUGUUUCUGUUCACUCAGUUCUUCACAUAAGACAUCUUUUUAAUAUGCAGCUUGGAAAGUUCCCGUAAAUAUCGCACAAAAGCAUUGCUUUAGGAAUAAAAACAAACUCGUUUCCAUGGCCUUCAAGACUGCGUGGUAUAGAAUCCCCUCUUUCCCAAGACCCAUCUUGUGUCACUUUUGCCCUAACUUUCUAUACUUAAGAUAUGAUGAAUUAACCUUAGUUAAUUCUAUAUAAAAUCUUACUGCAGGCAGCUCAAAUACUACCUUUUACUGUUACCCCUAGCCUUAUUAAGUGAAGUUCACGGCCCCCUUGUCUAUCAAAUUUUCUUUUAAAAUAUGAACUUGAAGUUCACUACGCUUGCAUUUGAUGGCAUUGGUUGUAUUAGGACUAAAAAUAAAGUGUAAAGUGAAAGAGUUAAACUGUUUCAGUCAACAUGUGUGUAUUAAUGGCACCUUAGUGUUCAGGAUUGGGCUAGAUUUUAUUGGGGAUGCAGAAGUUCUGGCCGCCUCUGGUUUUAGAUGUGUCGUAUUUGUUGAACCCUUUGCACUGUUGUGUUGCCUUGUCUGUUUUCGAGAUGGGGAAGCAGGAAGAAGGGGAGUAUAGGUUGAUACUGGGUGGGGUUGAAUAGGUGGAGCAGUAAAAUGCAGAGUAGAGAUAAGAGAGGCCCUACUUUUGGGUUCUGCUUUUCAUUUUCAAGGAGAUUUCAUUCUAUGCAGAGAGACUGGCUGACCUAAAAAUUGGCUAAUAAGAAAAUGUAUUGAUAGGUGGAAAGACUAUAUCACAGUUGGACAGUGGAUUCCAGGGACCUGUUUCAUUGCCUUCAAAGUUCAUUUGGAAAAGAGUUUUGAAGAGAAUCUUGCUCCAGAAGAAUGUUUUUCCCCCUUGGAUCUUUUUAACAAAGUCCAAGAACAGAAUGAAGAUCUUGGACUGAUUAUUGAUUUAACAUAUACUCACCGCUAUUAUAAGCCAGAGACAAACUUAUCGGCGUCCACUGUACCCAUGGUGUAAACAGGACUGGCUACCUCAUCUGCAGCUGGAGGAAGUGUCGAGGGAUUACCAG